UUCUUUAUGUUUUUAUUAAUUCAAAAUAAUUUGUUUACAAUUUUCAAGCCACUCUUCAUUGUACGAGGGUUGCCUUCUAUAUUUCGGGAUUAGAGAACAAAAACAAAUAUUAAAAAUUGAAAAUUGUUUUUUUUUAAAUAUUCUUCGUUAAAAUCUAUUUAUUUUUGCAUGCCAUUGAACAAAUUGUCGAAGCACUUUUGCCACUCUGAUUGAGGUAUCUCCUUCUUGAAAGAGAACUGGCAAACAAAUGGUUGUGCACCAAUCAGAAUUUACUGUUCUGCGUUGUUCUAGUGUUAUGAUUGCCACUAAUGCCUAUAGUUGUCUCCAUCUUACGAUAGGUCACAUGACAAUCAAGCAAUAUCAGUUUGUGCACAGCAUCAAUAGUUUUCGGAACAACUGAUUUCGGACGACCAUCACACAAUUCAUCUUAGAGUGAUCAACGACAUCGGUUGAAUUCACCACAUUAAGUUCAUCGAUGCACUGUUGCUGACUUGAUCCACGUCGAAAGUUGAAGAAAAUAAUCGCGAUUUAAUUCCAUUUUUUGACCGAUAUGAAUAUUUUAAGUUACUGUAAACAACGCAAAUAGCGCUCGUAUGUCAAAACGUUCUGAGUAUGUACAACAUCAAAAAUUUAAAGUUGUGAGUUGUGAGUUGAUAGAUUGCAACACUAGAGUUGCAAAAUCCCGAAAUAUAAAAGACAACCUACGUAAAUGCUUUGCCACAUCGUUCCGCACCACAACUAUACAAAUCUCUUUCAUUUUCCUACUUCUUUUUCACUUUUGUUUUGCGAAUUAUUCGCUAGCCUAACUCGAAAAACAGCCACUAUGAAUCGUUUUACCUGCCUCUGUCUGUCAACCGGUAUAUAUAAUUUUUUUUAGAAUUAUUCUGACGUGUUAUAUAAGAGUAGCCUAAACGAGAUUACGAAAUUAGUUGAAACAGCUGUUUUGGAAGUUGCUUAGUAAAAAGCUAACUAAUAUUUCUUUGGCAGGUGUUGAGAUUUUAAGUUUUCUCUAAAAAAUAAACCGCAAAUUUUAAAAAAAGAAUGUUGUAUACAAGAUAUUUAAAUUUUUUCGGAAAUGACUGGAAUAUAUUCGAAAUUUUAAUUUGAAAACUGUGCUCAUGCACAUAAAAAAAAAUAGAAGUUAUAAAUGUACAAAUGUUUACGGCAACCAAAACUGUGUCACAUUUUCAAAAACCAUGUUUUCUUGGCAUUUUUCUCAAUAAAUCAGGAUGCCAAAUAUUUUUAAAACACGUGUAUAUAUAUACUUAUAUAUACAGAGGCAUAAACAUACAUACAUAUGUAGUUAAAAAUAAGAUGAUACAAUUUUUAGCGAAAGCAUUUCCGAGCAGAUUUAUAAACAACCUUUUUUCAAAAUUACUGAACUACACAUUUUUUAGUCUAUUUAUUUCGAAUAUUUCUUUCGAUUGUCAGCUAAAAAUGCGGAAAAUUUAUGUAAACACUUUAAGUCGUAAAAUUCAAAAGGAACAUAAAUGUGCAUACCUAAGUCGUAAUUUAUGUUGCGUUCAUAAAAAUAUUUAUGUACAGGUCCGAAGUGGUCAAUGAAAAUCAAAUACAAAUGCACUCAUUUGGUAGACCCACAUACCUACGAACAUACCAGUGUACGUACUUAGCUGGUACUUGAAAUUUAAAAAUAUGACCAUAACGAAGCUUUACUUAAGGUGUUCUGUACAGACUUCCUGGUGGUUAAAUUAAAUAAAUACUUGACACAGAAUAUUAUGGCUAGCUUUUAGUAUGAUAUUAUUUCUAGUUUUAUGUUUUAGUUAAGUGAGAAAAAUAAAAUUCUCGGUGUACGUUUCCUACAUAACUUUCUAAAAUACUUAAAAAAUACGUAUUAGUGCCAGUUUCUAGCUGUAAUUUCUUCAGUAAUUUUGUGAGAGAAACGAUCUUCGGAUAGUUCAAUUUUAUUUGGUAUUUUGAUUUUACAUAUGCAUAUUUUUAAAUGCAGACAACAACAAUGCCGGAAAUAUAAACCUAUUUAAAUAUUUCUCUACUAGAUCACUCUAGAAAUUUAGCUUAAGAUAAAUAUUCAAGGUUUUGAUAGUGUUCUUAAGAGAUUCUGUUCGGUGGAUCAACCGUUAAAGAACGUAUGCAUGCUUUCAUUCAUUUUUUGAAAAAAAAAAGUUCAGUAAAAUACAAAAACUUUAGAAAGGUUGUAGAGGUUAUGCUAUUGACUGAUAAUGGACAGUUAUAAGUAGAGCUCGCCCUGAAGAAAUCCAUUAUAUAUUCUAAUAUAUAUAUACAAUAUAUAUUUUUUUUUUAUAUGAAUCUCUCUUUUCGAGCAAAAAUCGAAAAACAAAGACAUCCGAUUAAGCGAGGUAGAAUGUACGAGCGAAUCUUACUAGACUAUAUAUUUCCAACCGAGGAGAAAGCGAAGAGUCCUACCGUUGGAGGGAGUUUCAUUUUGGAGAUGAAAGGUAUAGAAGUCUCGGUUCUGCCUGGAAAUGUUAUCGAACGUGUUUUCAUAAGAAGCUUUUGUGAUUUCAAAAUAACUCUUAUCAGGCUUGAAUUUUGACGACUUAAAGCGAAAAAAAUUGUGGAAACAAGAAUUUCUAGAUAACAUGCAAAAACAAUUAAGAUAUAGUGAAUUGCUUGGCAAGCAAAUGGAUGAAGAAGUGGCUCAAUAAUGAAUGCUAUACCACCACAUGACCAAUAGAUCAUCACAAAAAAAGCUAAAUCAUUAGAGCGGCAACAAAUCGAUCAUCUAUCGAACUAGAUGAUAAGGCGUUUUUUUGUCACUGAUCAAAAUCACUCAUUUUCAACCUACAAGUUGUAGAAUAUAACUAGAAGUCUGAAAUUAAAUUACACAAAAAUUACCAACAGCAAAUCAAAUACCAUAUUUCUGCAAGAAAGCGAGCAAGAGCACCUAAUGUGACAAGCCACCAAAGUAAAUAAAUAACUACAGUACAAUAAUGCUAAAUAAUCCUAAAAUAAAAGAAAUUUAUAUUAUAACAAAAAGAAUAAUUCUACAUUCUACGACAGCUUUUGGCAUGAGUGUUUGAAAUGUUUGAUCGCCACAAACCAAUACUUAAAAUCGUUUCUUUUCGUGCGGUUCUCAUAUCUCUAUUUUGUUUAACAUUUCGGAUAUGAGGCUAUUGAACUCGUUCGUUAGUGCCGUUUCAGACAGGGACGCAAAAGAGUCUCAUACCAGUUUAUUGUGGGCGAGGGGACGACGAGGAAAGACGAAGGGACCGUGCCACUCGUGUUCGGGUGGCACGCUUUGUGUUCUUGUUCGUAACAGCUCGCUGCUACCCUUUUCAGCAUUCCUUUUCACUUUCAAAUCCUUUGAAUGGUUGCAAGAGCGCUCGGUUUCAAAUGAAUUCGAUCGCAAAU